CACACGGACUGUUGGUGCCAAGGGUGGUGGUACCACUAAUAUCCUCACAUGAAAGCCAGUCAUGGUUCCAAAGUGUAUCGCUGGGCAGUUAAGGACAGCAGAGCACACCUUUAGUCCCAGUACUUGGGAGGUAGAGGUGGGCAAAUCUCUAAGCUUGAGGCCAGCUUGAUUUAUAUAACAAGUUCGAGGCUAGCCAGGGUUGCUUAAUGAGACCCUAACUUUAAAAAACAAAGAACAAAACAAAACAAAAGACCCAACCAAAAUAAAAACAAACAAAAAAGCACUUUUUUCACAGAUUCCUGCAAACCAUCUGCAUUAGAUUCACAGGAAAGGAGUCUAGAAAUAACUAGUUUUUAAAACUGUUGGGGGCAGGGCAAGGUUAUAAAUAGCUAUAAUCCCAGCACCUGGGAGGUGGGGGCUGGUUUAAGUCAAGCUCAUAAUACCUUUGAGGCCACCUGAACAACAGUCCUUCAAGAACUCAAAAGGUAUAGGGCAUGAAGACAGCUGAUGUUCCUGAUCCAGCCUGCAAACACUGGGACCCUCAGCUCACUGCUUCUCAGCUUGCAAACACUGGGACCCUCAGCUCACUGCUUCUCAGCCUGCAAACACUGGGACCCACAGGUCGCUGCUUCUCUGCGUACUGUUCCCUUACCUACUCAGGAAUGGGCUUUUCUCCAGUGUCAAAGGAUAAUAGGACCAGAAUUACCGGACUUGGGGAUUAGAUCGCUUGAAAUCUGAUUUCCAGUACACAGUGUUAGGACACAAAAGCGUUCUCAUGUGUUUGGUCAUAUUAUCCUAAAGUUCCACCUCAGCAUGUUCCCAUCACAAGACAGUCGAA
rnacentral:lncRNA from 1 species